rnacentral:rRNA from 1 species
UUCUGGCUCAGGAUGAACGCUAGCGGCAGGCUAACACAUGCAAGUCGAGGGGCAGCGGGAUGUAGCAAUACAUUGCCGGCGACCGGCGGAUGGGUGCGUAACGCGUAUGCAACCUACCUUAUACAGGGGAAUAACCUUUCGAAAGGGAGACUAACACCCCAUAGUAUUGAUUUAAGGCAUCUUAGAUUAAUUAAAUAUUUAUAGGUAUAAGAUGGGCAUGCGUAUGAUUAGCUAGUUGGUAAGGUAACGGCUUACCAAGGCGACGAUCAUUAGGGGUUCUGAGAGGAAGGUCCCCCACACUGGUACUGAGACACGGACCAGACUCCUACGGGAGGCAGCAGUGAGGAAUAUUGGUCAAUGGGCGCAAGCCUGAACCAGCCAUGCCGCGUGCCAGGAAGACGGCCUUAUGGGUUGUAAACUGCUUUUACAUAAGACUAACCGUAUAUUUGCGAAUAUACCUGAAUGUAUUAUGAGAAUAAGGAUCGGCCAACUCCGUGCCAGCCGCCGC